GCCUGUUUAACAAAAACAUCGCUUUUAGGGAGGUAUAAAAGGUCUGGCCUGCCCACUGUGAUUAAAGGGCCGCAGUAUUUUGACUGUGCAAAGGUAGCAUAAUCAUUAGUCUUUUAAUUGAAGGCUGGCAUGAAUGGUUGGAUGAGGUAAACGCUGUCUCUUAUAAACAAAUAGAAUUUAGCUUUUCAGUCAAAAGGCUGAAAUAAUAUUAGAGGACGAGAAGACCCUAUAGAUCUUUAUAAAGCUAUAUAAGACUAGAAGAUGAGCUAGGGUUUUAUAAAAUUUUUAUUUGGUUGGGGUGACAAGGAAAUAUUAUAACUUUCUUAUAUUUAACACUGAUUAGUGAGUUGGGGAUCCAUAGAUUAUGAUUUAAAGAGAAAGUUACCUUAGGGAUAACAGCAUAAUCCUCUUAGAGAGUUCAAAUCGAAAAGAGGGGUUGUGACCUCGAUGUUGGACUAAGAUUUAGCUUGGGUGCAGCAGCCUGGGAUAGUGGUCUGUUCGACCAGUAGAAUCUUACAUGAUCUGAGUUCAAACCGGAGCUCC
rnacentral:rRNA from 1 species